rnacentral:rRNA from 1 species
UACAGAGGGGGCAAGCGUUGUUCGGAAUUACUGGGCGUAAAGGGCGCGUAGGCGGCCUUCUAAGUCGAACGUGAAAUCCCCGGGCUCAACUCGGGAACUGCGUCCGAUACUGGUGGGCUUGAAUCCGGGAGAGGGAUGCGGAAUUCCAGGUGUAGCGGUGAAAUGCGUAGAUAUCCGGAGGAACACCGGUGGCGAAGGCGGCUUCCUGGACCGAUACUGACGCUGAGGCGCGAAAGCUAGGGGAGCAAACGGG